AAAACCCAACUCCUUCAGUUUCUGUCCUUAUUUUUCACUAGAUAAUUGGCUUCGUCCAUACCUCCUAAUCUGAGAGGGAUCAGCUUAUCUUCUUCUACUUAUCUGCUUUUACAUGUAUUCUGCUUAUCAUAGAAGAAAAAGGAAAGCUGUAAAUUAUUACAUAUUUAAGAUGUUAAUGCCAGUAAUCAACUAUAAAGUAAAACCCAAGCCAUUGUUCCGAUCUAUCAUUGCUUUGGAUUCUCUGCUAUUAUACAAGUUGGUCUUGGUAGCUGAGAAAAGGGUUGUGUCAGGAAGACUCCAGGUUCAUAAAAUAUCUAGUGGUUUAGGCAGGAUUAGAUAACCCUUUAUCUUAUGGUGCAUAUUAAGAAGCACAACUACUUUCUUUGUUUGAUUUCCAGUUUGUAGCUGCAUUCUUCAGUUUCCUGAGAUGUUUAUCUGCCAAUGUUAAUCACUUUUGAAUAGAAUGUGAUCUAUUUUUGUUCUUCAUUUUCCUCCCACCCUCAUAUAUAUGUGUUGUGUCACCUAUUGUGGUCUUCCUGCUCUCUGCUUAACAAUUUGUGGUAUUAGUUUCUAGAAAUGGGAUUGACCGCUCUAUGAUUUCAGUUUCUAGAAAUGGGAUUGACCGCUCUAUGAUUUCAGCCAUAAAGGUUUUCUGCAAAAAUAUGUCAAGCGUUUAAAAGAGAUGAAGUUCGUAAGAGAAGAUUUGGUUUUCAGUACCCACAGUGAGGAGGU
rnacentral:lncRNA from 1 species